ACCCGUUUAUCCUGCGGGAGGUUGCUGCUAUCAGGAUUCGAUUAAGCCAUGCAAGUCAGAGGGUUCCUUCGGGAACACAGGCAAACCGCUCAGUAACACGUUGAUAAUCUGACCUUAGGUACGGGAUAACCUUGGAAAACUGAGGCUAAGACCGUAUAGGGAAAUUGUUCUGGAAACGAUUUUUUCCUUAAAGGCAACGCCUAAGGAUGAGUCAGCGGCGGAUUAGGUAGUUGGUGGGGUAAAGGCCCACCAAGCCAAAGAUCCGUAGGGGCCUUGAGAGAGGUAGCCCCGAGAAGGACACUGAGACACUUGUCCUAGCCCUACGGGGUGCAGCAGGCGCGAAACCUUUACAAUGCACGCAAGUGUGAUAAGGGAAUCCUGAGUGCUAAUCAAUAGAUUGGCUUUUGCCAAGAGUAAAAAUCUUGGCGAAUAAGUGGUGGGCAAGACCGGUGCCAGCAGCCGCGUAACCCCGGCGCCACGAGUGGCAACCAUAUUUACUUGGCCUAAAGCGUCCGUAGCUGGUUUAGUGAAUCUUUUGUGAAAUCUUGGGGCUCAACCUCAGGGCUUGCAGAAGACACUGCUAGACUCGGAACCGGGAGGAGUGCGGGGUAUUACAGGGGGAGCGGUAAAAUGCGAUAAUCCUUGUAGGACCACCAGUGGCGAAGGCGCCGCACUAGAACGGAUUCGACAGUGAGGGACGAAAGCUAGGGGAGCGAUCCGGAUUAGAUACCCGAGUAGUCCUAGCCGUAAACGCUGUGAGCAAGGUAUUGCGCAUUCCACGCGAAUGCGUAGUGUCGAAGAGAAGUCGUUAAGCUCACCGCCUGGGAAGUAUGGUCGCAAGGCUGAAACUUAAAGGAAUUGGCGGGGGAGCACUACAAGGGGUGCGGCGUGCGGUUUAAUCUAAUUCAACGCAGAGAAUCUCACCAGAAGCGACGGCAGAAUGAAGAUCAGGCUGAAGACCUUAUCUGACGAGCCGAGAGGUAGUGCAUGGCCGCCGUCAGCUCGUGCCGUGAGGUGUCCUGUUAAGUCAGGCAACGAGCGAGACCUGUACCUAUAAUUGCUAACGAUAUCAUCGAUAGGUCGAGCACUUUACAGGGACUGCCUUGGAAACAAGGAGGAAGGUGCAGGCAACGGUAGGUCUGUAUGCUCCGAAUCCUCUGGGCUACACGCGCGCAACAAUGGUAAGGACAAUGGGAUACGACCCUGAAAAGGGAAGUUAAACCUCUAAACCUUAUCUUAGUCCAGAUUGAGGGCUGUAACUCGCCCUCAUGACGCCGGAAUCCCUAGUAAUCGGACGUUAUCAUCGUCCGGUGAAUAUGUCCCUGCUCCUUGCACACACCGCCCGUCAAACCACUCGAGCAGGGUUUAGGUGAGGAUCAAUUUUUUUGAUUGCUUCAAAUCUAAACUCAGUGAGAUGGGUUAAGUCGUCACAAGGUA
rnacentral:rRNA from 1 species